GGCGAGUAGAGGCCGCUCAGACUCCGGGCGACGGAACUUCCAGCCAAUGGGAGCGCGGCACGGGAGCGCUCGCAGGGCGCCGGCGGAGACGUAAUCUCGACCCGCCGGGCGGAGCUAGGACUGGACGGAGCCAUCCAGCUGCAGGUCCGGGUUGGUGACAGUUAAAAUAUGUGAGGAAAGAGGAGGGACAGGGCCAUUUCUGUGUAGAAGGAGCUACUCUGCAUAGCAAGGGCAGAGGUUACUGAUGCUUCUGGAUCAGAUCGACCCCCUUUCCAGGGCGGGGUGAACUGGUGCUUUCACGGAUUAGCUGGUGUCAUGGCAAAUAACAGCAAGUCCUUUCUCCCUGGAGAAUGAUACCAACAGAACAGGAAACACCCAAUUCAAGUGCUGGGUAACUAGAAAGGAUACAGAUUUACAAAGCUCAGGGUCCACAACCCCUCCAGGGUUACCGAGGAGCUGGCUGGAGGAGAGAACAGUCCAAAUCUCUAGGCUGCUAGAACCACGGCCGGUUAGUGGAAGAAAUUCUCUACAGGAAAUGACGGGGGCAGAGGGGGCCCAGCACCUUGGCAGUCACACAGUCACCAGCGCGGGAGCAAGCUGGUGGGUCCCAGUGCUCGUCGAUGGAGCCAGGCUCCGUGAACAUCCCCAGAUGGGGAUUCGUUUCUGCUCCAUCCCUUUCUUUUAUGAAUGAUGCCCCAGUAGAAAGCUGGGCUGAAGUACCUUCCCUGGCCCGUUCCUGCCGGGAAACCUGAAUUUCCUUAAUCAGCGCUGCCUCAACAUUUUCGGGUAGGUGUGCCUUACUGAGGGCGGGGCGGCAGGGACACAGCAAUGAGGGGCGGCCGCCUGCCGGCUGCGGACCUACCCUGGGCUUUGCGCCUAGUGUACCAACGACCUGCGCCAUUGCCUCUGCCUCCCCGAGAACAUCCAAGAGGCAGCAGCCGCUCCAAAGUGCCCGUUUUGCUGAGCGGCUGAAUUUUACAAAAACCGUGGGGAGGGUGUUCACAGGUGAACAGGAAGCACCUGCAGGGGCUGCGGCCGGGUGUGCGUUUGUGGAACGGCUCGUCUAAGGGCGGUCGGCGGGGCAGGUGCUGCUUCGCUGCCCUCCUUUUCAGUGUCUUUGCUGACCACACAUGUCACAGAGGGCACCCCCUCCGAGACUCGUAACACAACGAAGACAUUUCAAAUUCUCAACACAGUGGUGUCCUCAGAGGAAGUGGUGACUUCAAGGAAGUCAUUUGGCUGAAUGGACAUGACAGCUAUGGUGCUGGCGACGGUGGACUGAAACUUCCACGCCAGCCACAGUCGGCCAGGCCCGGGGGGCCGGAGUGGCCAACUCCACCGGAUGUCAGCGCGACGGAACCCUCGGGGUGGGAUGAACACACAGGUGACGAGUCCCUCAGCCAGGACGGUGAGCACCACCUGCAGUGGCCCCCGGCCAGUGUGGCCAGUUUACCUGACAGUCAGAGAGACUAAUUUUAGAAGUCUCAGUUUCCAGAGUCAGAUAUAAACUUAGAAUCAAGGGUGAAGUAAGCUAAUUUCAUACCCCGACCCCACACCCUCUCUCUCACCUUCACAAACCGCUUGGAUUGGAGGGCGGUGAGAGCAGGGCCAACGUGAUGGCUCGACUAAAUGGCUCCCCCAAGUCAACGGGGGAAUUUUACCCUCACAGCCUAGGGACUCCGGUCCCCGAGCUGCGAGGUCAUACGUCUGACCGGCUGGCAGGUUUGGCUGUGCAGACGGGCAGUGUAACUCACAGAAGGAGCCAGGUGGAACUCAGCCCUGGGUAAAAACAGACCCCACCACUCCUCCAACCGCUCCGGGAGACGAAGGUUCGCGUCUGCAGUGCAGGAGAUGGCAGGUGCACGGGCGGAGGGGGCCAACCGCCUCACCUGGGAAAACUGGUCUGAGUAUUUUCUUUCUGGAGCUGAAGGAGGCAUGACUUGCAGUUUGUUUACUAGUAGAGUUUUGAUGUGGUUUUUAAAACAACUGGAUUAUAAGGUGCUGAACUAGCUCUUGCCACUUUAAAGGUCGUAAAUUUGCUGUGUCCUGACGGUUUACGAGCCCUAGCACCCGUGGUACCCACCCUAAAAAGGAAGUUCCAAUCACAUGGGCAUUUUAAAGUUUAUUUCUUUUUGAACGAGCCGACAGACCCGUCCCUUGCUAGCUGAGCUGGCUUCUCCCAGCCCACGGCCCACGGCCCACGACCCAUGGCCCCUGCUCAGAGAAACUCCCUUCUCCGCCUCCGCCCGGCAGGAGCGCACCCUCCGCCAUGACACGCACGCUUCAGUUUAAAACUGUCAAUACAACCCUCAAAAUGCAAGUUUAUUGAAUAAAGCUGAGAAGAGCAGUAAACAGAUGAAAAUGCAUCCACCUAAAUAGAAAAUUCACGUAUUUACAGAGUUCAGUAACUGCAAAGUUUUCACAUGCAGAGGUUAAUGCACGGGAGAAUGGGGGUGGUGGUGUCUGGGUGUCCCGAAAAGCUGAAAGCAACGGACAGACACAGGAGCGCGUUCAGGUUGAGCCACAGGUCCAGUCGUGCACUCACGCGGCCCCUACAGCCACGCAGUCCAGUCCCGGUUCCUCCUUCCAGGCACGAGCUCGGCGCCACGUGCCAAGCACGGCUCACAGCAGCCGCGCCUGGGGUGGAGCCCCAGCAGUGAAUGCAGCCGUCCCUCGACCCACAGAGCUGUCCGCCCUGUCGGGGAGCAUGUAACACGCUUCAAAGAACGAGGACACAAUGUGAAGAGCCGUGACUCUACUCGUGAGGAGGUGGCCGGAGAACACAAGUGGUACCUGUGCAACACGGUGUGGUUGCGUGUGCAUGAGAGUGUUAUGGCAGUGGCAGUCCACAAAGGAAAGUGGGAGUUCAUGGGAGGACUCGCCGUGUGUGCGAAGCACAGUGCCUGCAGGCGUAGCACGGCCAAAGGGGUGAGGCCGCGGGACUGCGGGGCCACCCAGAGGCGGGCGAGCCUCACUUGCACCUACCCCGAGUGGUCUCAUGAGCCCGUUCACGCGUGCGUAAGUGGGAACAUGUCCCCUUAGGAACUGGAGACCACUCGGCUCCAGAGCAGGCUCGGUGGAGUGUUCACGCCCCUGCCUCCUGGAGACUGCAGCCAACUACUGCAGGCCCUCGGUUCCACGUGUGACCAAUCAUUGGACAACCUGCAGACACUCCACUGGCAGCGUCAGACAAGGCAGGCCAGUCCCCAGUCGUCACAACGAGUGCAGUGUCUAAUGGCACCAAGCACAAGGGCGCUGGGCUUGCCAUCAGUGAGACAGAGUGGGCAGGACUUUCUGUUUACGAGUGUCUGCGCCGUGUGAGCUGGCCGCAUGCCCCACACGAGAGGUCAGGCAUGUGGAGAGCCAUGCGGCCGCACAGACGUGAGUGAUGGAGACGGAAAGAGGCGAGUCUGACAUUCUGAACACGCUUUAUUGCAUUGGCCGGAACACUCUGAACUCAUAAAGCUUCUGUGGGACUCUUCCGUUCCCAAACCCUCAAAAGUGUGUUGAACCAGCAAAAAAAGAGAAGAAAUAGAGAAGUAAUGAUCUGGACAGAUACAAAACAGCAUGCCUUACUCAGGCCCCCCGCAUGCCCCCUGCUGCUUCCUGGUGGUGAAGAAGUCGCAGGAAGCAGAGUAAAAACCUCACCACGCAAGACGACACCCGUGCGAAGAGCCAGCGACCCUGGCCCAGCGCCUAUGCCCCCGCCGCGAAGGCCGUCCCCAAAGCUGCUAAAGUGAACAGUGAGACAUCGCGCAUGCGCUGGUGGGCGGUGGAAACGCCACGCCCACACCCCCACAACUCGGCUGCAGGCUCCCUAAAUGCUGGGCGUGGCACUAGAAAUUCCAUGCUGGGUCAGGUCAGUACCGGUGAGAGGCUACUAGACUCUACAGUGAAAUAUCAGACAGACGUUUACCAAAACCAAUAUAAAAAUCUGGCCCAGAAAGACCGGAACAGAAAUGUGCAAUUUUCUUGAUUUAAGAUGGUCAAAAGUAUGUUUUUUAAAAAAGCUCCACACACCGUGUGAAACAAGCGUGUGUGAGCAGCUCUGUGUGUGCGGACUUGACCAUGGCGACUCAGGCUGACUCUGGGUUCUGUAUGAAGGGUUAGAGACACACGUCUUCAGCAGUGCACAUGAGAAAUAAACUCGGAAAAAGGCAAUUUCUUGGGUUUAGGAAGGACCGUGUUCUAGGAAGUACUUCGGAGGAACGGACAAUAAUUCUAGGAUUACAGCCGGAAGGACUGGAAGACUUCGGGGGAUGCUUUUCAGCUUCUUCUAGACUUUGAAUGUUGAAUAAGCCACUGAAGUGUGAUAUCUAAAGAUGAAGGGAAAAAGGCAGUAAGACACCACAGUUAAGAAGCGAAACAUUGGAGAGAAUGUUUAAGGUGCAGCCCAUGCCACGUGGGCCUGCCCUGUUCCGCCCUUAUGCCCUUGCACCGCUGCUGCCGUCCUCUGGGUCUUAAGGAGACCACCGAGGAACGAGGACCGAGGAGUCUGGUUUGCACUGUGGAGAACACUCGGGCCUCCUUCAGUUCAUUCAGAAACUCACGGACUGCCUGUGAAAUCAGGUACUGCACGUGAAGUCUAGGAACACAGCUCCAAGAGACGUCCUCUCUGCCCUUGACAAGCCUCUAGUACCAUGGUCGGGACACACGUGAGCAUCCACUUGGGGUUGGGGGCCGCCCCACAGAAUGCCAGGCAGAGGAAACUGUACGGAGCUCUGGGUGGACGGGAAGUGUUCUGAUGUGGCUGAAGCCGAGGGCGGGGUGGGGUGCCACUCACCGCUCAGGCUAGAGCAGGGGUUCCCACUGCCCCUUUGGCCACGGGGCUGGUUAGCUCUGCUGGGUGGGAGGACGCCCCUCCCCUUGCACGGUGGGGUGUCUGCACCCCCAUGGCCUUCCCCACCAUGUGCCACCAUCACCAUCCUCCCUCAGGUGUCGCGCCCUGUCACCCCUUCAGACACUACCGAGGGUCCCCUGCCGAGGACCGCAGGGCUAGAGGGAGCCCGGGGACCCAUGUGUCAUGGUAAGACACUAGAAAUCUGGGUGUUCUCCUCAUGCCAACAAAGAGCUGCUGGAGAGCUUUAAGCAGGGAGACUAUCGGUUUGUUCAGGGAGAUCAACACUGGUACCGGAAGGGCUGCCGGGCUACGGACCAUCGAUGGGGACAGUGUGGUGACAAAGGCCGGAAGCAAGCCAAGUGCAGUGGGCGUGGGGGGGGGGGAUGAGCGAUCAAGAUGGGGGAUGACAGGCACUGGUGCAGAGGACCUUCUGGUCUGAAGGAGUGUGUCACGGAGCUGCUGAGCGGCUCGGUGAUGGAGGGAGAAGAGCCUUCAAAAAUGAUGACGGGGCACGGUCGCAGGCACAUGGGCCCAGGAGCAGUUUAGCCACACAGGUCUGCGGAGGAGACGGGGACCUGCAGGACACCGCCACACGGGUGGCCCGAGACCACGGCCCCAAGGUUGGCCAGGAAAAGCACUGAGACAAGAAGAGACGCCAGCUGAGUCCAAACACUGGAUUCCUGCCCUCGAGUUCUCGCAAGCACAUCAGGCAUGUGAGCUGUGUGUGGGCGUCUGGCAGAGGCAGCGCCGCUCUCCAAGCCCAAGGGUGAGGGCAGAUCCCCGCUCACGUGCCACACGACAGCGCCCAGGCGGGCGGUGAGGGGAACCCACAUGACUGCCCAAGGUGUGGGGACAGCCUGCAGAGAGAGCAAAGCCACACUCAUAGAACUCAAUGGGAGGAAGGUGGGUCUGAACGUGGACUGACCAGGUUUAAGUAUUUCUGAAAUUCACUGGAAAAAUAAAAACCAAAACAAAAAACUCAUGGACACUGGACAGAGGGAUCCCUAAGACUAGACGAAAAGGGCCACAGCUGUGAGCCACCUCUGCAGAGACCAGCCUGCCAGCAGUGACCUGUUCCACGUGGGGUCAGAGGACACAUGACCAACGACAGCACUUCCUGUGCCACUCUCGGGGGCGGGGAGUGUGACAGACGGGCAUGUGCCCUUUCUGGAGCAAUUUGGAAACUGAUAAAUGUGAUACUGAAAUGUGCUACAGACGCCACAGUUAAGAAGGAUGUUCUGCCCUGAACACCCAAGUGUCAUCGACUUGGCUGCUAGUUGUAGUUCCACUUCGAAUACGCAGGCAUUCCGACCCACAGACUCCUUGUUCUGAGCCGGGUGAACAGUGAGCGGCUCCCUCUCCUCCGUGGGCCCAGGGACGUCCUGCUGGCAGUGGGCUUCACGGCACACGCGGGGCGGGGGGCGGUUCUCGCCAGCCCCCUGCCUGUGCUGCACACACGCCCCCCAGAGACGCUCUUCAGGGAAGCCCCCGGCUACUUUAUCAUGGUUGGAAAAACAAAGGUUUUUUUCCUCCUUUCAAAAACGUCCCUCCAUCCUAGGAAUUAGUAAGUACAAGGGGACACGGGACUUACGGAGGGCGCAAUGUGCUGACAGUGAGGGCUGGGACGGAACAGGGCCACGCAGCCUCGUCCCAGACAUUCGGGCUGCACAGGUGUUCGCUGCGGGGUCUGCAGGGUGCUCACAGCACCUGGGCCUGGUCUCCGCCCCCAGACGCCAGCGCCGCCCUCGGCGUCGUGCCGACCCACUUGUCUCCAGACACUGCCGGCCCUCUGCUGUGGAAGCCCCUCCUGGGAGCUGCUCAUGUGUGAGCCCGUGCUCGCUCGGAGGCACAACUUAAAAUCGAAUAGGAGUUUCCCCCAACAUAGGAAAAGAGAAUUAAAAAUAAACCUUAAAUGCUCGAACAGUCCGCUCUGGAGUGUAUCAAGUCCCUACUCUGCUCAUCCCACAGAGGUGGCUCCGUGCCCUCCAGCAGGUGCUGGGCUCGGGCAGCCUUGGGCGCUCUUUCAAGGAGGCCCUGGACCAGCCAGAAAAACUCCUGGGGGACUGAGGAGGGAGUUGGGGUACAGACUGGGACUGACUCGGGGAACAAAGGUAAGUAGGAUGAGAACCAAUAUUGAAUGAGGACUAAAGGCAAAAGACCAGAAUAUCUGUAAAGCACACUACUUUGGCCCUAUUCACUGCACUUUACUUCAAUACACUUUUGCUUAUUAAAUAAUCCCUUACCUAUUUUUAGCUAAGAGAUGAAAGCCAAGCCAUGCAUACUUAUUCUUCAAGGACUCUGGACUGAAAAUUAUUCUUCAAGGACUCCGACUGAGCAGUGUCCCCUAAAACGUCACAGCCGCCCAGAAACCCAGGAUUUACUUGGACACAGGGUCUCUGCAGAGGUGCUCAGUUACGACCAAGGUCGCACUGAUCACAUGGGCACCUACCGCAGUGACGCGUCCUUGUGGGAAGAGAAAACGGGCGCGCAGGGGACAGGGCCGCGUGAGCACCUGAGGCCGGAGGCAGAGACUCGAGGUGCGUCUGCAAGCCUGGGCGAGCCCGGACAGCCAGCAACCCCCCCGCCCCCGUUAGAGAAGGGGAGGCACCUCCCUGGGCCGUCGGAGGGCCACACCUUCAUGACAGCCAUCUGGCCUCAUGAACUGGAAGGAACAUGCUGUUUUAUGCCACCCGGUCUGUGGCACUUUGCUAUGGGGGUCCUGGGAAACUAGCCCGUUAGUAGAUAAGGGGCAUUUGGGGCUUUCCUUCUCCAAUGGAGCAAGAGCACGUUUCAGUGACAAAGUGGUUCCAUAAAUUAGAGCUUGUUACAACGCUUGUGGGCCAACCUUUGUGUGGUCUCAUUUCAAGAAUGUCAUUGUGUUAUAAAGCACAGCCAGACACUAGCUGCGUAAAAAUUAACGCAAUGGCUCAAUACCCCAUUUGCUUAAUUUGGUGUCUCUACUGCACCGGCCCCUUUACAUAGUGCAGACCAGACUCGGGACGAGUCCCGGCUGUUGAAGGGUAUAACGUCUACUCUUUUCCUCCGGCGAAGGCAACUGUGCUGUAUAAAGAAAGUCACUUAAACACAAAUGGGGAUAAUAAACAGAAAUAUCUUUAGACACCCCUUCCAGUGAUAACACUUUCUUCCAACAAAAACACCUGUCAUUUCUUACCUAUAUUAUCCUUUUCUUUGCAAGAAAUUGAAUAGCAGCAGAUUUCUCUAUCCUGAAUGGCAGACAGGUUCCUGCAAGAAGCAGAACGGAGAGAAAUCAAAUCUUUAAAAGCAGCGGAAAUGCCGCCACAGGCCCUCACACUGCAACGUGUUCGGGUGGUGGCAGCUCCCCCCACUCGGUUGUUCAGGCUGCUGUUCACUGCGGAGUCCGCAGCGCGGACACUCAUUAGUCUGUGUGGCCGCCGCCCUCCACUGAAACUGCUCUCAGCCUAUGGUGCCGGUUCUUCUAUUCUUUCCUUUGUUUUUUUUAACUGAUUGAUUUGCGAGAGGAAGGCGGGGAGGGAAACACUGAGGAGAGACCAGACCGGUUGCCUCCCACCCGGGGCCCAACCAGAGAAGGGACUGGCAACCCCACGGUGCCCGGAUGACUCGCUGACCGACUGAGUCGCCUCGCCACGGCCCGCCUGUCCUCUGACGCUCCACCACGCUCGCCUGCGAUUGGCUGUCGCGGAUGCGGCUGCCUGGCGUCUCAGCCCUCUCCCCACAUUCAAGGACCUCCUGCCUCCUGACCCCCUUUCUGGCUCUGCUCUCCCGUCUGCUGGCGCCCGACACUCGAUCUGGGACCCCCACAGCCCUGACCACGCAGCCUGGGCUGCAGGGAAGCAGGAAGAGCAAAGCCCUCCCGACAGGAGAGGGUGCUGCCUCUCCGCCAGGGGUGCCGAGAGCCCUGACAGUGCAGCCACGAGACUGACCCCACUCGUGGCACACGCCACAGGUCUGUAUCGUGGAGGGAAGAGUCUGGCAGACACGCAUUCAGAAUCCGGCUGUGCAACACACUAGUGGCCACGCGGCCUGAGAAACAACUGUGGUAGAGGAGGGACAACAGCACCAACUCACGCUGCUGCGAGGAUUAACUGAGGUGGCCCACUCCAAGUCCCCGACACCCGUGGGCUUGCCGUGAGGCCGGAGCCCAAUCCUCUGCCAGCACCUCUUCAGUCAACCAGCGGCGCCAUCUCCCACCCAACUACACAGGGAACUAGGGCCUGUUCCCGUGUCUUCCCUUCUCCCCCGGGCUCAGUCGGAGGGCCGGGCUCCUAGACGUCGCUGACAUCUGUCCCCACUGCACCGUCCUGCCACCACCACCUGCAACUAUGGUGCUGUCCCCCGUUGAGACUUCAACAGCUGCCAUGCUGUCCUCCGCACGGUCCGCCCUUCAAGUGCAGUCCGGAUUUAAAUAAUGCAUCCGAUCACUUACAACACUACAACACUACAGCGGCUUCCCACCCAGUCCAGCGCACGCCACGCCUCCCCCAGUGCCCCUGCAGCCGCACAGGCCCCGAGCCCCCACCCUGCUGCCCGGGAUGUGCCUCCUCUCCGGGCCCCACCUCCCCCCACCAAGGAGCCUCCUCCACACAGCGCUCACACCUCAGCUGGAGGGUCGCCUCUGCAGAGCGUCCCCGCUCCCCUCCCCCUGGCGCACCCCGCUCCCACGCAGCACUGGUCCCGGCGCCGCCAGCCCGGCACUCCAGGCCUCCCUCUCCCACUAGACCACAGGCUCCGAGAUGCUGUGUGCUCUGCUGCCCCCCGCGCUGAGCGCGGCCCCUGCUGCACACGGCUUAGUACAGGGCUGGUCAGGAGAGCACGGCAGUGCUCAGUCUGCCAAGCCUCCCAGACUGUAGAACAGAUGACAUUUUACUGACAUCAAUCAUAAUGUAACCAGACACUGUCAUAUACUCCUAGUAAUAUGGUAAGUUACAGACAGUAUAUGCAAUGUAAAAUAACGAGCACUCUGUACUUACUGGGA